rnacentral:rRNA from 1 species
UUGAUUUCGGGCUUUAUUUGCGCAGGAUAGGUGGGAGGCUUUGAGAGUGUUUUUGAGGGAGCAUUUGAGCCAUUGGUGAGAUACCACUCUUAUAAAGCUAGAAUUCUAACCUUAUACCGUUAGCCGGUUAAGGAACAGUCUCUGGUGGGCAGUUUGACUGGGGCGGUCGCCUCCUAAAAGGUAACGGAGGCGCACAAAGGUUUCCUCAGAUCGGUCAGAAAUCGAUCGUAGAGCGUAAAGGCAUAAGGAAGCUUGACUGCGAGACCUACAAGUCGAGCAGAGACGAAAGUCGGUCUUAGUGAUCCGACGGUUCCGAGUGGAAGGGCCGUCGCUCAACGGAUAAAAGUUACUCUAGGGAUAAC